rnacentral:rRNA from 1 species
UGAUCCAGCCAUGCCGCGUGUGUGAAGAAGGCCUUUUGGUUGUAAAGCACUUUAAGCAGUGAAGAAGACUCUUCGGUUAAUACCCGGAGACGAUGACAUUAGCUGCAGAAUAAGCACCGGCUAACUCUGUGCCAGCAGCCGCGGUAAUACAGAGGGUGCAAGCGUUAAUCGGAAUUACUGGGCGUAAAGCGAGCGUAGGUGGCUUGAUAAGUCAGAUGUGAAAUCCCCGGGCUUAACCUGGGAACUGCAUCUGAAACUGUUAGGCUAGAGUAGGUGAGAGGGAAGUAGAAUUUCAGGUGUAGCGGUGAAAUGCGUAGAGAUCUGAAGGAAUACCGAUGGCGAAGGCAGCUUCCUGGCAUCAUACUGACACUGAGGCUCGAAAGCGUGGGUAGCAAACAGGAUUAGAUACCCUGGUAGUCCACGCCGUAAACGAUGUCUACUAGUCGUUGGGUCCCUUGAGGACUUAGUGACGCAGCUAACGCAAUAAGUAGACCGCCUGGGGAGUACGGCCGCAAGGUUAAAACUCAAAUGAAUUGACGGGGGCCCGCACAAGCGGUGGAGCAUGUGGUUUAAUUCGAUGCAACGCGAAGAACCUUACCUGGUCUUGACAUAUCUAGAAUCCUGCAGAGAUGCGGGAGUGCCUUCGGGAAUUAGAAUACAGGUGCUGCAUGGCUGUCGUCAGCUCGUGUCGUGAGAUGUUGGGUUAAGUCCCGCAACGAGCGCAACCCUUGUCCUUAGUUACCAGCGGGUUAAGCC